UACGUAGGGGGCGAGCGUUGUCCGGAUUUAUUGGGCGUAAAGAGCGUGUAGGCGGCCAGGUAGGUCUGCUGUGAAAACUCGAGGCUCAACCUCGAGACGUCGGCGGAAACCAUCUGGCUAGAGUCCGGAAGAGGAGAGUGGAAUUCCUGGUGUAGCGGUGAAAUGCGCAGAUAUCAGGAAGAACACCCGUGGCGAAGGCGGCUCUCUGGGACGGGUACUGACGCUGAGACGCGAAAAGCGUGGGGAGCGAACAGG
rnacentral:rRNA from 1 species